rnacentral:rRNA from 1 species
UACGAACCGUACGAACGUUAUUCGGAAUCACUGGGCUUAAAGGGUGCGUAGGCGGCGCAGUAAGUUGGGUGUGAAAUCCCUCGGCUUAACCGAGGAAUUGCCCUCCAAACUGCUUUGCUUGAGGCCGGGAGAGGUGAGUGGAAUUCCCAGUGUAGCGGUGAAAUGCGCAGAUAUCGGGAGGAACACCAAUGGCGAAGGCAGCUCGCUGGGACGGUACUGACGCUGAGACGCGAAAGCGUGGGGAGCAAACAGG